AGCGAACGCUGGCGGCAGGCCUAACACAUGCAAGUCGAGCGCCCCGCAAGGGAGCGGCAGACGGGAGAGUAACACGUGGGAACGUACCCUUUGGUUCGGAACAACCCAGGGAAACUUGGGCUAAUACCGGAUAAGUCCGUAAGGAGAAAGAUUUAUCGCCAAUGGAUCGGCCCGCGUCUGAUUAGCUAGUUGGUGAGGUAAUGGCUCACCAAGGCGACGAUCAGUAGCUGGUCGAGAGGAUGAUCAGCCUCACUGGGACUGAGACACGGCCCAGACUCCUACGGGAGGCAGCAGUGGGGAAUAUUGGACAAUGGGCGCAAGCCUGAUCCAGCCAUGCCGCGUGGAGGAUGAAGGCUUUCGGUUGUAACUCCUGUCAUUUUGAGAACGAAGGUGCAUUACGGUUAACUGCCGAUGCAUUGAUAGUAUCAGAAGAGGAAGAGACGGCU
rnacentral:rRNA from 1 species